AGACGGCGGAGAGCUGGAAUGGAGCGCGCCUUGGCCCGCUGGCCUUGGCCGCAGCUCCUCGGGAGACCCGGGGCGCCCACGCGAGACUCUCCCCACCUGGGUCUCUUCAGGGAUGACAUCAUCCGUUCACCUCCUUGUCUUCAAGGACCUCCUCUCGAUGCCAUGCUGCUGCCAAGGUGCUUGCUGCUCACCUCCACCUGAUGAGGGCACUAGGAGUUCGACCCCUGGAUGGCACCAGCGUCCAAAGCAGCCCCUGGCAGAGACCCCUUCCCCCCCCACCCCCGUGGACCAGGAUGACGAAGGACGAAGAGGACCAGGACCGACCACCCAGCUCUCCCUCUUGGCUAAAUGCUCAAAACCAAUGCCCUAGUGAGGGGGCAUUGGUCGUUAACCUCUGACCUUUGCUAUCUUUGAACACUUUCCUAUUAAGUCUCCGCUUGCGUUAACGUGCCAGCGACCUGGAGUGUUUCCCUCCCCAAAAAGUUGUGGGUCUUUCUCCGACAACAAACCCAUUGUUGCCGUUGCGACGUCCUGAACGGAAGGAUCCCUUCGGGAACUUCUCAGGAGGGGGACCUGGGCCAGGGGCUCGACCAGCAUCUCACUGGCAAUUCCAAGGCCCAUGGUGGGCUUCUGGAAUGAGCCUGAGCCCCGACGCCAUGCUUCUCAACUGCCAAGGGCACCCCCACCUCUUCUGAGAUCCCCCUGGGCUUUCUGGGGGAAUGGGGCCAAGAAGGGUAACCUCUCAGGGUUGUUGUGAGUAUUAAAUGAGGUGAAACAGCCUCAGGCAAGGCCGGGCAUAGAGGAGGUGACUGGCAAAUGUUUGUUGAAACAGUUUGGUAGGGUCAGUCCUUUCCCGCCUCGUCACGUGUCUCACUCUUCUCGUUUAUUCUCCCACAGCGCUCCAGGCAGCCCCUCCCCACGGGGCUCUCCUUGCACCAGGUAGGGGUCCGCCAAGAUGGGCAUUGGGCUGGCCCGAGUAGGAAUGCGAAUCACGCAUGUGGUCAUUUCCAGAGCACUUUCUCUGUUGUCGGAGUGUGUUCCUCCCAUGCCCUACAUCCACGUGAACCAAGCAGCCUCCUUUACAGAUGAAAACGGAUUCGGCAUUGAUUUGAGUGAUCUGAAAAGGUGGGUGGGCAAGAGGACGUGGGGGAACCCAGUGCCCUUCCUGUGGCACCGUUCACGGUGACAGUGAGGACACUGAGGCUGGAGGAGUGUAAGUAUUCUGUCACGUUCUUGGCAAGAGAAGGGGUCAGAGUCGGACCCCGGGUGCCACUUGUGACUGCCCCUUAACCCCCUGGCCCAGAGUUCUACUAAGAGCCCUUUAUUUCCGAAGAGACACUUGGCAGUGGGAUAGCCUGUUUGGAAUCCCAGCUGUCCAGGGUGGUCUGGGGGGGUCUGGGUGGCCCCUCCCCAUGCUGGUGCCAUGUGCUGGUCCCACCUCUCAAUGACGGUGUGACCUUAAACAAGUCACUUAACUCUUCUAAGCCCCAGUCCCUUUCAUGGGCUAAAUGGGGAUUAAAAAAAAAAAAAAACAAAAAACAGAAAAAAAAAAACAAAAAACAAAACAACACAACACCCGGUUUAUCUACCCCACAGGGCGCUUUUGAAGCCCAAAUGAUGUGACCACUAUGAAAGUGCUUUGUAAAUCGCUGUGGAAAUUGCUAGAUACUUAACUCCUGGGGGGUUAGCCCCUCUUGGUGCCAAUGCCCAGCCCUCUUCUCCCUUGGUCAUAACAGCACCCAGUAGGUGCUGUGUGUGUUUGCACUCCAUAAAUAAAUUCUGGGAUAAAUAAAAGCAGAAUUAAUUCAACAAACAUUUUCCGGAACGCUGACAAUGUGCCCAGCACACCGGGCCUGGUGUGUGAUCCAAAGACGCUGCAAACAGUCUCCUGGAAGCUAAUUGGGGUCCCCAAUUGAUCAGUACUUUCUUUCGUCCCCUUUUAAGCCAACCAGUUUUGUCCGGACGGGACAAAAACAACCCUGGCGCUUUAGAGAAGCCCAGCUUGGUGGAGACAAUAGCUCCCGGGCAUCUGAAAGGGGCUGAUUGGAUUAUGUGGCAAAUGAUGGUGGAAGGGUGACUUGGAAGGUGACAAAUGAAGUGGGCGGAGGGCUGCUUUGAGUUAAUCCAGGCUAUUAGGAGGGAACCUUUUGUCUUCCAGGGCCUGGCAGGAGCUUUUACUACAGGUUUUUACGUCCUUAAUGUAAGGACGCGUAAUUUAUGGUCAGUGCAAAUCCAGGCCCGGUGAGAUUUGAGUGGGCUGUAAAAUUGAGCGUCCUGCUACCAGCGAGUAAUUAGAGGGAACAUUUAUGUCUCCCCUUGCGCUCCGCGAAGGCCUUUUGCCACCAUCAGUUCAUUUGAACCUCACAACUCCCUGCCCUGACCCGGGGCUGGCCUGCCACCUCCAAGGGGAGCAGAGGCCAUCAAGCCUUCCAACCGGGGCCCCACGGCACGUUUGCACCCCCGUCACCUCUUGGGUGGCAGAGGAAGAGGCGUCCUCUGCGCCGGUCCCUCCCGUCUCCGACCCGUCCCCUGUCCGACUCCUUCUUCCCUCUGAACUCCUAACUUUGCUCUCUCCACAGCCGGGCGCCUCCCAGGCCCCUCCUGUCCCCCUUUCCAGCCACGACAGCCUGUCUCUUUCCUUUCACAGCCAAGCUUCUCGAAAGGCCUGUCUACACUCGCUGUCUUCCUUCCUCACCUCCAAUUUUCUCUUCAACCCACUGCUUCCUGACUUGUUCUGCUCCGUCGAACGGCUCUCACUCAGGUAAUGACUUUUCUGUCGCUUAACUCUGGACACGUUUCCAGCUCACGGACACACGGACACAUUUUCGUUCUUUCCCUCCCGUGGCGUUCGGCUCUGGUUCCCGGGUCGACACAUCCUCCCCAGACGCUUCACAGAAUCCCCUGCUCCUGGCUUCCCUCGUCUUAGUUUCUCCGAGGAACUGGACUAUUCACAUCUCUCUGGGAAACCUUCUCCUGCCCUCUUGCCGGGUUUGAGGCCUGACGAAAUCGCCUGGUGCUGAGGCCUUGGGGUUGGUCGGUUUUUUCCAAGCCACGUUUUUCUCGGUUAAGGAAUAGGGUUACUGAUCUUUCCCCAGCAGGGUCAGGUGGGAUGUGUUGCAGGUAAGAACCGGGCACUAUUUGAGGGCCUUGAAAUAAGGUCAGUAAAGUGUUCGUGAGAAAAUUGGGAGUCCUCAUUAGCUUUCCUUACAGGUUAAGUUCCCACGGGGAGAACCGGAAAGGGAACAAAGGCGUGCGGGCGGGGUGGGGGGGGGAGAGUAGCUGAGAAAGACAAAAAAAAAAAAAAAAAAAAAAGAAAACAGAAAACAACAACAACAACAAAAAUAAGAAAAGACGCUGAAGGCAGUAACAACAAAGUCGGGAAAGGACACUUAGAAAACAGUAACGUCUCCCCAAAACCCCAUCCAGAGAAAGUUUUCCUCUCGGGGGGCUCGGGCUAAAAAAAAGUAAACAGGAAAAAGGUUUUAAAUUGAUUAUCCCAGUGACAAAUCCCAGGAAGCUUUCAAAUCAAAUUGCCCCAUGUUAGGUUUUUAACUCCUUCUGUCAAGUUUAACCUCUUUACCUCCUGCAUCCUGGUGAAACCCUCCCCAGCCCCCCUCGCUGGUGAUUAAAUCCCGAAGGUGCACGCAGUCUUUCAGGGAGUGAAUGGCCCACAGAAAGAGCCCUCCCCCUCCCCCCAGCUGUGGUUUUCAGUUUUAUUCCACUUUCCGCCCUCUUCCCUUAAUGAACACAGGGCUAAUCUUGGGCCUUGUCAAGGAAGAGGCUGCAGACAUUAAUGAGGUAACUGCUGGACUCCAAUAUUCGUCUCAUAAGGAGCCCUUCUUUGUCUGUGAAGGAAAAACACACUGAUUAUCAUAAUGAGGUGAGCUAGCGUCCGCAGGCAGGGGCGACCGGUGCUUAGGCCACGCUCCUAAUUCUGGUGCCGGAGCGAGCCGGGUUUCAUUUGCUCCUCAUUUAAGUCUUUGCCUCUGUCCCAGCGUGGGGCCCAUUGAGCGGGGUUGAAAGUUGAAGGCUGCUCUGGGACUGGCCGCAGAUAGGGCCCCUUUGCAGAAGUUCCUUUGUUCGACCCUACCGCAUACAGAUGUCACAGUGGUCCAGGUGCUUCUUGUCUCCUGGCUUCCUUCUCCAGAAGCCCGGGGAAUGGCGGCGCGUGUUUCCUACUGAAGCACGCACCUGACCUGUUUCUCGGGACUCCCUGGCCAUCGCAAACUUCAUUGUCAAGCGGUAGAUAAAGUGCCACAGCCUACGUGCAGAACCCGUGGAAUGCCCCCAUCCUGGUCACGAACUAGAUGGAUAUUAGCGCCCCAUAGGCCCCCGCCCCCGCCAUGGACCGGCAUGGUUUGGGGUUCACAGUUGACUCCCACAUACUGCCGAGAGUGAGCUUCAGAGGGCCAGCCGUUUGUCAGGGUCACUCAGUGAGCCAAGUUCACAGAGGGGACAUUACAACUCCUAUCCGGCAUCAGAAGCAGUUAAGUCCCUGCUUUUACAAUCCCCUGAGUCUCUCCCUCCCCCAUAUGCCCUGUGCCUCGCUGGAAUGCACCCCGCUUUUGUCCUGAUUUGAACCCCCCCCAGAGCCCAUCGGUGUCUUUAGAGCCUGAAACUUGCCCUUAUGUGUCCCAAGUUCUGGACUUUUCUUUCCCUAAGGCAGAUCAAGAUUAGGUCACUCCCUGUUCAUCAGACUCUGCCCAAUGGAGGAAAAACAAAACUAAGGGAGAAGGAAGGUGUUUGGAACAGGGGCGCUUAGAAAAGGUGGGAGGGGGCUCAUAACUUACCUGUUGGCCAGAGAUUUCUCUGGCAUGAGUCAGAAUGAGCCCCUCUUCGAGUCUGCCAAACCAACUGUCCCCUCCACACACAUUGAAGGGUGUCCAGGUGACCCAGAUGUCACCUGGACGAGGGGACUGGGAGUGGAUGGGCACCUCUGAAUAUAGGGAUCCCACCAAAACCUGCCCCUCUCAGCGUAGUUACUGGAAAGAAAAAUAGAGCAGUUCCUGGUGUUUCUGAACAAGAGGACUUUUAAAUAGGAAGUUAACCACAGGCCUAUUCUCCAAUGCGUGCUAGCAAUUAAGCUACAAGCCCCCAAGUCCCUAAUAUUCCAGCAUUUGAGAGCCUGGGGAGGGGGUGGAAGGCAUCUGUUAGCCAGGACCUUGGGGUUUGGUGCGCAUUCCUGCCACCCUGAGGGCCUGGCACAUGAUGACGUCUCCCCUAAACUCUGCCCCUGCUUGGGUUUCUGGAAACUCAGUCAAGCCUUCCUGAGGCCACGAGCCGAGGGGACUGAGCUAAUUGCUCCCUUGAGCAGAGGGGCGCCCCUUUCUAACUUGUCCCCUUGUUUCUGCGGUGCCUGAGCAGGACCCCCGGCACCCCGCUCUUCUGGUCCCGGGGUCCAGUCUGGGACCCUGUGUGAGCUUCCUGUGUGAGCCGCCCUGGCUCCCAGAACCUACUGGUCUCAGUGUCCCUCAGUGAAUCCAUUCCGGAGGGUCUGGAGUCCCAGGAAGAUGUGGCUUCACCAGGUGGGAAACGAGAGAAUGCACGAGGCCAGGAGAUGCCCCCUCCCCUGCCCCCGAUUCUGAGGUUCUGUUUCUGCUUUUCCUGUCCACCUCUGUUCUCCACCCCCUCCUCUCCUCCCCUCUACCUCCAUCCCUGUCUCCUGAUCCGGUCCCCUGGGGGUGCCCUAGGCCGGCCCAUGUCCCCUCUGGGUGCCCUAGCUCCAGCCUGGCACAAAGUGGGGUUCAGUAAGAGUAUGUGGGAUGUCUGUUUGGACAGGUGAGUCAGUGAAGGACCCGCCAUACUUGUAUGAUGCUAGAGGGGAGUCUUUGGGAAGCAAGGAGUUUCAGGUAAAAGGGUGGAGGCUGGGUUUCGUCUCACUGAGGGGGAGUGGGCAUCGUCCCACCCCCAGCCCCAUUUGAGCUGGGCCUUUCUGGUCUCACCCCUUCAUUCACUCAGGCGUCCAUCCCGUCAUCCAACAGUUGAUCCUUACUGAGCAAGCCCACGGCCCGGCCCUGGCUUGGCCCCUGAAUCCCUUAGUGCAUCCUUGAUGGCCUCUGCCUCCUGGGGAGGGCUGGCUUGGGGGGGGGGGGGAUAGUGGUGUUGCUUUGGCUGAGGACAGCCUCUCCCUGUUCGGUGCCGGAGCCGUGGCCUCCGGCUCUGUGGAGAAGGCAGGCAGGAGGGUGUGAGGGGCAGUCCCGGUCUGCCUCCCUUUGGCCAGUUGGCCCCCUUGACCUUUGAUUUAAACCCUGGAGGAAACUUGAACCUGUCCAUCUGCAGGGCUCUGCCCCCCUCCCGCCCUCUCUGCCUCCCACCCCCCCAUCCCGUAGCUGAGUGCUGGUGGCUGUCCUGGACCCCCCCCCCCCCCCCCGCCCUACCGCUCAGGACCGCGCGCCCCUCGGGCUCUGGCCACACAGGUCUCCCCCUUGAGUUGGCUCCGCAAACCGGACCCCUUCCUCCAUGAUGCCUCCCUCCCCCUGGGGCUAAAUCCAGCCCCUUUGCCGCCAGGGGGUUGGCUGGGGGGGCCGUCCCAUGCAAAAGGGCAGGUAGCCGGGACCCUCCAGGGAGCUCUGCAGCCCCCGCCUCUGCCUGCUUGCCUACCUGCUCUGCCCUGCCUGCUGGCCAGGUUGACCCACCUGGAGCUCUGUCGCCCGACCUGACCCACCCGCCCCUUCCCCCGCGCUCAAAAUCACCGGGCUCGUGACUCUCUUGGCCUCACUUGUCUAGCCGUCUGCCUAGCAGUUUGGUUUUCUUUGCUGAGCCCACACCUGUGGUUGCCUGGCCCCUCCCGCUGCCUCGUCUGUCCACCUGCUUGCUUUCUGCCCUUCUCUCGGGUCCAAAUACUCCUCUCCCUAAGGACCCCCGUCCUCCCCCAGAGAGUUUGCAGCCGGUCUCCAGUGCUCACGGGACAGGCCCCUGCUGGCAAACCACCUCCCCCAGACAUCCUCGGAUGCUUCCUCCCAUGGGGGUGGGUGGGGCAGGGCCACCACGGCCGCACCCAGACUUCGGUCCCGCCCCUCGCCCCCCGUGCCUCUUGUCGUGUCCCCCUGAGUGUUAGCCACAGCCUGUCCCUGUGAGCCCUGGGCUCUGCCACGUCCCAGGCCUCGUGACCGGUUUGGGGGGCUGCCACCUGGGCCCGUGGCCUCUCCUCACACCUCUUCCCAUCACUGCUCAUCUCCACGAGCCACCUCCUUCCACCGAAAGCCACGCCGCAGGUCAGCCCUGUCCCCGGCACGCGGGCCGCAACCUGGUUGGGUCGGCCGGAGAACCGGACGGAAGAGGCGGGAGAAGCCCCCGGAGGAGCGCCACCCUGCACCCAGCCUUCCUUCCCGAUGCUCGCCUGGCGUCUCGCGCCCAGCGCUGUGCCUCUCCGCUCCUUCCUGGCUCCGGUCGAAGCCGCCAUCUGGAAUUCUCCACGGAAGAGACCUCGACGCGCGACCCGGCACCCUCCGGCUUUCAAAUCCCUCCGCAGCCACGGGGACACCCACCCUGCACGCGUUCCCGCGGGACAGGCCGGACCCAAAGACUCUGGACCGGGGCCGCCCCCUGCGAGGAGGGGCGCGCCCUCCCGGCCUCUCCUUGCCUAGCCACCCGCCCUCUGACUGAUGGACAUCACUGAUCUGAGGCUCAGACGCGUGGGCCGGACCCCUCCCCGCCCCUCACGAGCCCUGAGACUUGGGGGAGCGGAGCCAGCGAGCCUACCUACCUCACAGGGUUGUUGUGAGGAGCGUGUGAUGCGGUUUGGAAGCACCUGACCCGGGACUUGGCUCACCCUGUUGUGCUCUCAAUAAAUGUGUUUCUUGCCUUAACAAAAA